rnacentral:rRNA from 1 species
AGCGAAUAGAUACCCCGGUAGUCCACGCUGUAAACGAUGGAUACUAGGUGUAGCAGGUAUCGACCCCUGCUGUGCCGCAGCUAACGCAAUAAGUAUCCCGCCUGGGGAGUAUGGCCGCAAGGUUGAAACUCAAAGGAAUUGACGGGGGCCCGCACAAGCGGUGGAGGAUGUGGUUUAAUUCGACGCAACGCGAAGAACCUUACCAAGGCUUGACAUCCACUGAAUCUUGUAGAAAUACAGGAGUGCCCGAAAGGGAGCAGUGAGACAGGUGGUGCAUGGCUGUCGUCAGCUCGUGUCGUGAGAUGUUGGGUUUAAGUCCCGCAACGAGCGCAACCCUCGACGUUAGUUACCAUCAUUCAGUUGGGGACUCUAACGUGACUGCCGGUGAUAAGCCGGAGGAAGGUGAGGACGACGUCAAGUCAUCAUGCCCCUUACGUCUUGGGCUACACACGUCCUACAAUGGCAUAGACAAAGGGCUGCAAGACCGCGAGGUUGAGCGAAUCUCAU